AGCACUUAGUCAAUUGCUGUAUUUUUAAUAUAGAGGAAAGUCCGCGCUAGCACUUGCUGAAACGCAAGUAAAGAUCAUGUUAAGUCUAAUAAACUUAAGCCUAGACGACAAGUGCCACAGAGACGAGCUUAUUAAUUUAAGGUGAAACGCGGUAAACUCCGUGAGCUAGAAACCCAAAUUAUGGUAGGGGAGCUUUCAAAAGGGAAUCGAACUAAUUGAAAGAAGUUUUAAACUUAGAUAAAUAAUUGACGCUACUUUUGUAGAACAGAACGCGGCUUAUUAGU
rnacentral:RNase_P_RNA from 2 species